GACGAACGCUGGCGGCGUGCUUAACACAUGCAAGUCGAACGCAUCCUUCGGGGUGAGUGGCAGACGGGUGAGUAACGCGUGGGAACGUGCCCUUCAGUUCGGGAUAACCCAGGGAAACUUGGGCUAAUACCGGAUACGUGCGAGAGCAGAAAGAUUUAUCGCUGAAGGAUCGGCCGGCGUCUGAUUAGCUAGUUGGUGGGGUAAUGGCCCACCAAGGCGACGAUCAGUAGCUGGUCUGAGAGGAUGAUCAGCCAUAUUGGGACUGAGACACGGCCCAAACUCCUACGGGAGGCAGCAGUGGGGAAUAUUGGACAAUGGGCGCAAGCCUGAUCCAGCCAUGCCGCGGGAGUGAUGAAGGCCUUAGGGUUGUAAAGCUCUUUCGUCCGGGACGAUAAUGACGGUACCGGAAGAAGAAGCCCCGGCUAACUUCGUGCCAGCCGCCGCGGUAA
rnacentral:rRNA from 1 species